UACGUAGGCAGCGAGCGUUGUUCGGAAUUACUGGGCGUAAAGAGUGUGUAGGCGGUGUUCCCAGUCUGUUGUGAAAUCUCCCGGCUUAACUGGGAGGGUGCAGCGGAAACUAGAAUGCUAGAGGGUGGGAGAGGUAAGCGGAAUUCCUGGUGUAGCGGUGAAAUGCGUAGAUAUCAGGAGGAACACCUGUGGUGUAGACAGCUUACUGGACCACUUCUGACGCUGAGACACGAAAGCGUGGGUAGCAAACGGG
rnacentral:rRNA from 1 species